GCGGGCGUAGUUUAAUGGUAGAACAUGAGCUUCCCAAGCUUAGAGCGCGAGUUCGAUUCUCGUCGCCCGCUCCA
rnacentral:tRNA from 16 species